GAUGAACGCUAGCGAUAGGCUUAACGCAUGCAAGUCGAGGGGCAGCAUGGUCUUAGCUUGCUAAGGCUGAUGGCGACCGGCGCACGGGUGCGUAACGCGUAUGCAACUUGCCUCACAGAGGGGGAUAACCCGUCGAAAGACGGACUAAUACCGCGUACACUCUAUGUUGGGCAUCCAAUGUAGAGGAAAUGAAAUUCGCUGUGAGAUAGGCAUGCGUCCCAUUAGCUAGUUGGUGAGGUAACGGCUCACCAAGGCGACGAUGGGUAGGGGAACUGAGAGGUUGAACCCCCACACUGGUACUGAGACACGGACCAGACUCCUACGCGAGGCAGCAGUGAGGAAUAUUGGUCAAUGGGCGAGAGCCUGAACCAGCCAAGUCGCGUGAAGGAUGACUGUCUUAUGGAUUGUAAACUUCUUUUAUACGGGAAUAACAAGAGUCACGUGUGGCUCCCUGCAUGUACCGGAUGAAUAAGCAUCGGCUAACUCCGUG
rnacentral:rRNA from 1 species